CGGGAGGUCAUGUUAAAUAUAUUCACUACCUCCUCCACCCUUUCUACAGUCCUGUUCGUUUUCAAGCUAGGGUUUUAUAGAGGCUGGUUAGAUCUGCAUAUAAUUUGGAUUUUUAAGGAACCAAGAUUUGUUGUUUUACUUUCGAACAGUUUCUUAUAUUGUUUGAUUUGUAUUUCCAUGUUGCAUCAUACAUCAAUUAGGGGUAUGCUUCAUCUCAUCUUCUUAGAUGCUAAUCAGUUGAUUUACCUUCCUGAAUUUCAUUAUUUUCUUUCUCUGCAUCAUAAAAGAUUGAAUUUACAGUCAUGAAUGGCAAUGAUGAAAAAAAGGCCGGUCUUACAGCUGCCUUGGGUUUAAUCCCAAUUUGGUAGUAGAAUGAUACAAAACUUUCAGAAGGUGUUUUCAGAGCCAUAUAUUAUAUGCACUUGUCUUUAUCUAUCGUAUAUAUAUGCCUAGUUCUACGAUUCACUUUCUAACUAUCUUCUUGUUUAUCACUACUUUUCAUGCUGUUUUGCACUUUCAAUUUACAUCCCAACUUAGUCAUUUGCAAGAAUGAACCAUCUGUGAGUAAUUAAACACUUUUCUCACUGAUAGCGCUGAGAAAAGGACUGCAGGUUCUGAGCAAGUGCCAUGAUUUUCACAUUUGAAGAAUAUGGAUGCAGGCAUAAUGAGUUCCAUUAUUUUGUUUUACAUAGGCUACUCACAGGCCUUAACCCAAUGUCGGCCGAGUAAUUUCUGUGCAGUAUACUAGAGUGUUUGUUGUACUAAACAUAAGCGUUAAUACUAAUGCAUUAAUUGACGGUACAAACAGUUUGUGAUAUUGUGAGUAAGCAACUGGUAUUGUUUGUUGAUUUCUUUGAUUUGUAUUCAGUUCUCUCAAUGUUGCAUCUAGCAACAAUUAGUCGUUAGAUGGUAAUCAGUUGAUUUAUCUUCUUCAGCUUCAUUGUUUUCUCUCUAUAUUAUAUAGAUUGAAUUUGCAGUCGUGAAUGGCAGUGAUGAAAAAAAGGCCGGUCUUACAGCUGCCUUGGGUUUAAUCCCAAUUUGGUAGUAGAAUGAUACAAAACUUUCAUAAGGUGUUUUCUGAGCCAUAUAUCUACAUCAGUCGUUAUCAUAUGUGCCUACUAUCUUACUGUUUAUCACCAUGCUGUUUUGCACUUUCUGUUUACAUCUCAACUUUGUAAUUUUCAAAAUUGAACCAUGUGUGAGUACACAACUAAACGAUUUUCUCACUGAUAGCGCCGAGAAAAGAACUGCAGGUUCCAAGUAAUUGCCAUGAUUUUCACAUUUGAAGGGUAUGCAUGUAGGUCAGUUAUCAUGUUUUACAUUGUUGUCAAAAGAUUGCUUUCUUCUUCAGGGGCUACUGACAGGCCUUCAAAACCGAUGUGGUUGAGUAACUUUUGUGCACUAGAGAGUUUGUUGUAAACAACUGCAUCAAUUGACAGUACAAAAAGUUUGUGAGUUAGCGAUUAACCAACUGGUGCUGUCUCCCGAGACUGACCUCAUCCUGACUCCCAAAGGUUUUUACCCUUGGAGCCGAUUCUCUUGGCAUAGUAUGCUACAAUUUAUAGGUGGUUUAGUUGUUUUGAAAUCAAUAUAUGAGAUUCGACAAUACAAAUCACUUCACUGUGUAGUAGUUUGACGUGGAAUCAAGUAUCAUUUUGACAAUGUGGAUUGUGGUUAUUUGCAAGGUAGAGAUUAAAGUCGUUGGAGGUGGGGUUCUGUAUCAGCGCAGAAGGAGCAACAACCACAUCUUGCUGUUGUAUGCAAUUUUUUACCAUAUAAAAAUGGUCUAAUAUUACCUUGAUGGAUUAUUUCCAAUAAGGCAGUUGUAGACCCUAAAUUGCUAGCAUAUGGUUUAGAUAUAUUGAUCAUGUAUCUGUGCAGCUACAGGUUAACCUCACAGAAUAAAAGCACAAUGUCUGCAUCGAUGGUAAAAGGUUCUUCAUCCAGACCUGGAUAAGAAACCAUGGGCCGUAGAGGAAAAUGGUAAAAUCAUGGAACUGGUCACCCACAAAAUGGUCUGUCAUAGCUAAAGGCUUGGCAGGUCACAUAAGGAAGCAAUCCUGAGAAAGGUAACCAACUCGAAGAAAGUUAGGUUUUCAUUGCUCAAGUACCAACUCGAUAAGAAUCUCAGGAAUAUCUCUUCGAGGAAAAAGUUAGAUUUUCAUUGCCAUGUUUUAUGUUCUUGAAUCUUUCAUGGUGGUGCCACUCCACUCAGCGUUGCUCAACCUAAAUUAGACUGUAUUCUUAGGUGAGAAGCAUGGGUUAUUGUCUAUUAAGACUUGAAAUUAAUCCAUAGAGGGAUGUCAUGAUGAAAAUUUCCCACACAUGCAGGUGUUGCUAUGCAGCUGCCGCCUUGGUACAAUUUUUCUAGUGAGUUAUGUAACUGUACAACCCUAGCGAGUUAUGUUACUUGUGUAACUGAUGGAUAUAUGUAUGUUUCCAUAGAGAAAUUUGAUUUAUAUGGAUUAUGACAAAAUUGAAGGACUUG